CGGAAAAUAAUUCCGGAAACGGAAAUAUUAAAUAUUUGUUCGAAACGGAAAUUAACACUAGAGGAAAAAACCUUAUAAGUUGUUGCCCUUAUACAACAAGAGCAACUUAAAAUAGUAAAAAAAAUAUAAUUUAAAAGUUGCCCCUAUCUAAUAAGAGCAUCUUUUAAUUGACAAAAAGUAAAAAAAAAAAAAAAAAAUCUCCCAUUUUCUUCUCGCUGCUCCCCUUUUGUUACUCACAAACUACUCAAAAACUCGACCAAACUACGACCAGUCGACCACCGCUCGAUUGAUCGAUUAGAGGGACAUUUUUCUUCCAUCAAAUCCAUGAGCAAGGAUUACAUUUCUUCAAUGGCUACAGAUAAUUGGUUUCGUGUUCAAUUUGUAGCUUAGUUUCUAACAUUCUUCCCGAUCAAUUACCUUCUCUCCUGUUAUCCUUGAGAUCCGUGCUUAUUAGCUACAAGAAGAAGACAAAAAGUACGCAGCCAAGAAGUCAUUUGAUCUGUUUCUUUAGAAGCUACUAGAUUGCAAAAGUUGUAUAGUCGAUCAGCUUGAUGUACUAACAGUUUGACAAGAGAAUAGAACAUUUAAGGAGUAGGCAACAUGGCCAGCAUGUCCUCACAGGAGCAUUCAUAGAACCAGCUAAGUCUACUCCUCUUUUUGUUUUUCAUUUUGAAUAUGGGAAAUGUACUGUGGGAUUAUGCUACAAUAUUAUCUUAUUUCUAACUGGUUGUCUUGGUCUGUAUAUAUAAAUUAUGUAUGCUGGAAUUUAUAUAUAUUGCAUUACAUUACAGGCGGAAAAAUGAAAGAUUGUUAUUUGAAAUUUCAUAUUUUUAGAGGAGACGCUACUGAACUUUAUACUCAACGAGGUUUUCAAAACUCCAAGGGAGGGGCCCUUUACCAAAAAGGAGUUGGAUGAAGUUCGAGAAAAGUGAGCUACUUACUUCAACGAUUGUGAACUACCCUCAGUGUAAUAAAUAGAGAAGGCUUGUAGUUAUUCGUGACUCCUACAUUAUUU